rnacentral:misc_RNA from 1 species
UCACUAUUCAAGCCCGGCUUGCUGUUGGACAUUUUGUCGUUAAAAGACAUGUCCUAAAGAUAAUGACGGUGUCUUUUGGACCCUAGAUGCAACGAGCUUUAACCAGCACGCAUUUUAGUAAAACCAUUAGACCCGGUCUUUUUAACCAAUUUUAA